rnacentral:lncRNA from 1 species
UAAGGCAAGUAUAGCAUUUGGAUUUUAUUUCUAUGACCAUGAUCCUGUGACUAGAUUAAUGUUAAGUAAUAAACGAUAAAAAUGACUUUUUAGCAACUUGAUGAUUUGUCUGUACGUGAUCACCCGGGACAACAGUGCAACCAUGAGGGCUAUAAUGGCUCUGGCUUUAGCUCAGUAUGAAGACCUUUUCUAGCUUGUUAGAGGUUACCCGAAAGGGCGCUAGAGGGGCUGAACCGACACGGUUAUAGUGCGAGCCCCUGUCCCUAUGUGUAUAGGCUGCGCGUCAUUGUGCCAUUCGGAAGGGGGUAUCUAUAUCUGCUCGCGAAGGAAACCUUGCGGCCCUAACAUGUUAGACGAACUUUUGAAAGGCUUCAUAGUGAUCCCUGCCGACCUCCCUAGGAAGGGGGUUAAGAGGCUGAUCACCUCGGGCGAAAGGGUAAAUCAUGACUCAUGGGUAAAGAUGUACAACCUCUGCAGAGUGUUAAAACUAGUAUACUAGCCGAGCUCACGGUCAGGAGCGGCCUUGGGGACAUCUACAUUAAGGGUGAUGAUUCAUGUGUGUUAAAAUAAUCAUUAUUUAUUGUUUAAUGCUCUACAUUAUUUAUGUCACAUUGAUCAUGAGAUUGUGGGAGCUAUACAAUCUAGUUGCU